rnacentral:rRNA from 1 species
GGGGAAUAUUGGGCAAUGGGGGCAACCCUGACCCAGCGACGCCGCGUGAGGGAAGAAGGCCUUCGGGUCGUAAACCGCUUUUGUACGUGAAGAAGCAGAUGACGGUAGCGUACGAAUAAGUCCCGGCUAACUACGUGCCAGCAGCCGCGGUAAUACGUAGGGGACGAGCGUUGUCCGGAAUUACUGGGCGUAAAGGGCGCGCAGGCUGCGCGUCGAGUCGGCUGUUAAAGAUCCGGGCUUAACCCGGGGAAGCGGUCGAGACCGACGAGCUGGAGUGCUGCAGAGGCAAGUGGAAUUCCCGGUGUAGCGGUGAAAUGCGUAGAUAUCGGGAAGAACACCGGUGGCGAAGGCGACUUGCUGGGCAGCAACUGACGCUGAGGCGCGAAAGCCAGGGGAGCAAACG